ACGUAGGUGGCAAGCGUUGUCCGGAUUUACUGGGCGUAAAGAGCGCGCAGGCGGUCGUUCAAGUCGCGUGUGAAAGCCCCCGGCUCAACUGGGGAGGGUCACGCGAUACUGAUCGACUCGAAGGCAGGAGAGGGAAGUGGAAUUCCCGGUGUAGUGGUGAAAUGCGUAGAUAUCGGGAGGAACAUCUGUGGCGAAGGCGACUACCUGGACCAGCACUGACACUGAGGCACGAAAGCGUGGGGAGCAAACAGGA
rnacentral:rRNA from 1 species